rnacentral:lncRNA from 1 species
UGAAUAUUCCAGAUGCAAUUUCAGGAAGAUGGAGAUGGAGGAGAAGAAAUAGACGUGACAUCUGACAGAAGAACGCUUGUUGGGGACUUGAUCUUGGAGAGACAUCACACCUGUUCUUCAGCCCUAACCUGCUGAGCUGGUCUCGGGAUCUGGCACAGCUACCCACAAUCAGGAGGAAACUACAAACCCAGAGCCUGUCCCUGAGGAGCCAAAGCUUUAAACCCCACAUCAGACCCUGAAACUUUUAAGACCUGCACUUGAAAGAUAAACCCCCAAAACUUGAAG